rnacentral:tRNA from 1 species
GGUGGGAUGGUCAAGUGGGAAAAGUGCUUGACCUGGUACUCUAAAAAUUUCCUGUUUUGGCAGGUUACAAAAAGAGCGUCAGUUCGAAUCUGGCUCCCAUCA